rnacentral:rRNA from 1 species
CGUAGGGGCCGAGCGUUGUCCGGAGUUAUUGGGCGUAAAGCGCGCGCAGGCGGCUUCGCGCGUCCGACGUGAAAGCCCCCGGCUCAACCGGGGAGGGUCGUUGGGUACGGCGGAGCUUGAGGGCGGUAGAGGUUGGUGGAAUUCCCGGUGUAGUGGUGAAAUGCGUAGAGAUCGGGAGGAACACCUGUGGCGAAGGCGGCCAACUGGGCCGACCCUGACGCUGAGGCGCGAAGGCGUGGGGAGCGAACGGG